ACGAACGCUGGCGGCAUGCCUAACACAUGCAAGUCGAACGCUAUUUAUAGAGUGGCGCACGGGUGAGUAACGCGUGGGAACCUGCCUUUUCUGCGGGAUAACGGUUGGAAACGACCGCUAAUACCGCAUACGCCCUACGGGGGAAAGGUCCGCCGGAGAAGAGGGGCCCGCGUCUGAUUAGCUUGUUGGUAGGGUAAUGGCCUACCAAGGCUACGAUCAGUAGCUGGUCUGAGAGGAUGAUCAGCCACACUGGGACUGAGACACGGCCCAGACUCCUACGGGAGGCAGCAGUGGGGAAUAUUGG
rnacentral:rRNA from 1 species